AAUGGGCGCAAGCCUGAUCCAGCCAUGCCGCGUGAGUGAAGAAGGCCUUCGGGUUGUAAAGCUCUUUUGUCAGGGACGAUAAUGACGGUACCUGAAGAAUAAGCCCCGGCAAACUUCGUGCCAGCAGCCGCGGUAAUACGAAGGGGGCUAGCGUUGUUCGGAAUUACUGGGCGUAAAGCGCACGUAGGCUGACAUUUAAGUCAGGGGUGAAAUCCCGAGGCUCAACCUCGGAACUGCCCUUGAUACUGGGUGUCUCGAGUCCGGAAGAGGUUAGUGGAAUUCCCAGUGUAGAGGUGAAAUUCGUAGAUAUUGGGAAGAACACCAGUGGCGAAGGCGGCUAACUGGUCCGGUACUGACGCUGAGGUGCGAAAGCGUGGGGAGCAAA
rnacentral:rRNA from 1 species